rnacentral:tmRNA from 2 species
GCAUUUGCAUCCCGCUCCGCCGGCCCUUAUAUUGAAGCUGCCGGCAACGGCUAUGGCGAUAAACGGCCAUCAUAAUAAACCCAUCGGACCCGGGGGCAGUACCCGGCGCCUCCACCAAUUCCCCUGUCGCGGCAGGGGCCUGCGGGGGCGAAAUAGGAUCGACGAGGGCGUAAAGGGUGUUGCUUUCGCUCGGUAUGGUACCCGCCGACAUCGGGCCAUCUUUAUAGUUGCCAACGACAACUAUGCUAAGGUUGCUCUCGCUGCGUAAUGCGGCGCGAUCGCCUGAAAUAAAGCCCUCCUGCUGUAGCAGGUAGGAGGCGGGGUUCGCAGGCACCUGGCAACAGAAGCCUGCACU